UUUUAAAUUUCCUCGUACAAGUCAAAAGAUCGAUCGAUAUAGAAAAUAUUUAUCUAUACUUCCCCAUGGCAGCUGUUGUUUUCGAGAAGUGAGACUUUGCCCCAUUCCAUGUAUUAUUAAUUAAGGGACAUAACUCACAGAGAACCAAACUCUAACAAUGGAAAGUGAUCGCCCUUUGCGUUUCUCAAGUAAUGAAAUCGAGGCUGAGUUUUUGACCUGUCCUGUAUGCAAGGGGAACCUUGUAAACAGAGACACAUCUCGGGCUCAUUUGUUGCCAUGCCUUCAUGCUAUAUGCAAGUCUUGUUUACUGAUCAACAUCAGAAAAGAAGAUGGAGCUACAGCUGACCAAAGGGAACCUGUCUGGAGAUCUGCUUGUUUCCUAUGUCCCGUUUUCUACGGGAAAACACGAGAUUUCUGUCGAGCUGCUCGGCGAAGAUGUUGGUCGGAAGGCUUUUAUAGUGGAUUGUGCUGAUGGGAAAAACACACAAUGACGGAGUUUCACUUUUGACAGCACGCUUUCAAAUCCAAAUGUAACGAUAUCAGAGAACGGAAUGUCCUUUGAAAAUUUUACUUCACUUUCUACAAGCCCAAGUCUGUCUGCAAAACGUUUUCGGCGUUUUAAAGGAACCCGGGGAAGCCUUCCUUUCAAAACUACAGACAUUGCCUCAUAUAGCAUGUCUGUUCGAUUCUGGGUAAGACAGCCACUCGGUAAAAGCCAAGUCAUUUUUGAAAUUGGCCUCGCUUUGGAAACUUCCAUUGACAACAAUCAUCACGUGGAUGGGCAGCCAUUUUGCUGGUCCAUGGUCGGAUUCCAUCAUCCUGAAUGUGACGCCAUUUGUCUCGUUGUUGCACACAGAGGGCAAGUUCUUUGUCAUGAAAAGAUGGCUGAGAAUCGUGCCGACUGCAUUUUCCAGACAACGUUUUCUUUCAACGUGGAUAUGAAAAAUGGCCGCUGGGAGAUUUUGCAGGAAAAACGAAAAUUAUGUUCGGUCGAGAUAAAUUCGGAUAAUCCCCUUUAUCCUGUCAUUUCCGGGUAUAAUCCAUCUAAAGUUUGGUUAAAGGUUAAUCUCAAAGAUUGUUGAGAUGGAUAGACGGAUCUAUGCCGAUACAAAUACAUUUAACACACAAUGAAUCACGCCUAUGCUACCGCGCUUAGGGAAGGGAUAUUGUUAUCGGAAUAGACGGUUAUUCGGAUUAAAUAGGCAUUGUGUCACAGUUAUGAAAAUACUUGUUUAUUUUGGUGCACUUUUUAAUGAUCUGUUUGUUUGUUAACGUUUACAAAAUAUAAUUUCAUAUAAUUAAUAGUGCUUUACUGUUUAAACAGAUUGAAAUAUUUGAUAUGUAUUUCCGUAAUAAUAUAAGUGCAUUUGAAUGUCUUAAAAUGAAUUUGAAAUGUUUAAGAUUAGGUUCUAUUUAACAAAAAUAAGUUGUUGGAUUUUCGAUGCCAGAACAAGGAAAUCCGAACUGACUAUUUAUAAGGAGAGCUUCUUGAAAUAAACAUCAUCUCUUUCGCAGAUCGAACUAAAUAUAGAAAAAAUACUUAGUGUUCGGAUUGACUAUGAUCACGUUUUUAUGUGGGUGUGACGAUGUACCAUGUAGUUUAUGAACACGUAAACAUUUGUACCAACCUUCUCGGAGACAUUUAUUUCCUCAUUGUUACGUUGAUAUCAAUAUCGUUAAUGGAUUACAAUUUUGCGAGUUCUGUGUAACAAUCUGGUUUUGCAUGAAGGCUUUUUCUUGUUAUUACUUUUUUGUGGGUGGGUGGGGGUGUAGAUAUAAGGAAGUAUUUUGAAUGUGUCUUCCAUAUCAUAUUAUUGUUUAAAUACAUGUAACUCUUGUUAUGAUGAAUAUUACAUAUAUUUGGUUUUGUAUUUAUUAUACUAUUGAUUAUGUAUUUGUUAUUUCUUAUUUGUCUCUGUCAUGCACUUCAUCAUGCUUUGAGCAUAAUUAUAUCCUGAACUACUAUAGUAGAAAAGUUUUUACUAUAUUUUAUUAUGAAACAUUGAUACACUUAAUUCAAAAUGAGUGUAUAAUUGAUAAACACGCUGUUAUAUAUAACUAUUGUUUUAUUAUACAAUGUUCUUACACAAAUAGAUCGAGAUUGAGAUGGCGAACGUUUGUUUUCAAUUGUAAUUAUAUGUUUGUUGUUGUUGUUUUUUUCAAAGUAUUAUAUAAUAUUUGCCUAACGUUUUAUUUAUCAAAUUGAAAACUCACAACCAGAAGGUCGAAAUUUUGUUUCAGUAUAAAAGUAUGCAUUUAUUUGCAUUUGUGGUAGACCAAGCAAAAUAAAAACUAAAUAAAAUC
rnacentral:misc_RNA from 1 species